rnacentral:lncRNA from 1 species
CUCAUAUUGGUUUUACCUUUUCUGUUAUUUGGGUUUCACAUAUUUGUUUACUUUUUCUCCUGUAGCCAAUGAACAGAACAAGUGUCUGAUUAUCAGAGGUCUGAUUCCAUUCAGUGGGCAAGUGUUACAGUCAGUGCUCUCUGUUCCUCCUCUUGAGUAUGCUGCGCUGUGUAUAGAUGGAACUGGGUAAAAUACCUCUUGUGUAUCCCCUGGAAUCAGCCCAAGGUAGUUUUGCCAAUGCAGUGUCUCUGAGUCAGUACCAUCUUUCAUAUUUUGAUGUUUCUGUGAUGAGAUUUUUUUUUGCUUACCCAGUAUCUUGAUAAUGAGGUUUAUUGACUGUCCAGAUAGAAGCACCUUGCCACCUGUACCAAAGAAUUUUCAAGAAAGUCUUUACAACCCCCCAGGAAACCUGUUCAGGAACUCCUGAAGAUGCUUGGAAGAAUUUGUUGCAUUUCUGGCCCCAGAGGCUGUUAUGGAGAACACCAGAUGAUGUGCAGUGAGGGUAAUUACCAUCGCCCACGCCAGCGCUCGGGAUCGGACGGCGAGCGAGGCAAAGGUCAGCUCCUGGCAGAAUCUCCACGCGGAUACCUGGGCUGCCCCGGGCUGCAGACUGGCGUUUGUCUUUCCUGCCGGCAGCACAGUGGUCACAGUGUGUAGUGUGCUGAAGUAGCAUUAUCUUCACUUCACUGAUAAGAAGAUUUACAUCCACACAAAGCCAGACUGGAAGAUCUGGGAUAAGGACUGGGCUCAGAGCUCCAGAUGUGGCAAUAACCAGCUGCCUGCUUACAGUGGUAGCUCAAAUGGAUCUGUCUCACCCCAGAGUGACCCUGAAGGUCAGGCUUGGAUUCCCUUAUUACAGGCACCUUUUUGUUUCAGCUUUGGCUAAACCUCACUGCAUGUGGGGGGUUGUAUUGGCCCUAGCUAAAGGCUACGCUUCAUUUGAGAUAACAG